GGUUAAGCGACUAAGCGUACACGGUGGAUGCCCUGGCAGUCAGAGGCGAUGAAGGGCGUGCUAAUCUGCGAUAAGCGCCGGUAAGGUGAUAUGAACCGUUAUAACCGGCGAUACCCGAAUGGGGAAACCCAGUGUGACUCGUCACACUAUCAUUAACUGAAUCCAUAGGUUAAUGAGGCGAACCGGGGGAACUGAAACAUCUAAGUACCCCGAGGAAAAGAAAUCAACCGAGAUUCCCCCAGUAGCGGCGAGCGAACGGGGAGGAGCCCAGAGCCUGAAUCAGCAUGUGUGUUAGUGGAAGCGUCUGGAAAGGCGCGCGAUACAGGGUGACAGCCCCGUACACAAAAGCGCAUGUGCUGUGAGCUCGAUGAGUAGGGCGGGACACGUGGUAUCCUGUCUGAAUAUGGGGGGACCAUCCUCCAAGGCUAAAUACUCCUGACUGACCGAUAGUGAACCAGUACCGUGAGGGAAAGGCGAAAAGAACCCCGGCGAGGGGAGUGAAAAAGAACCUGAAACCGUGUACGUACAAGCAGUGGGAGCCCCACCACUAAGCCAGUGGUGAACUCCACAUACGCAUCCUUUGCUGAGGAUACGGUUAACGGAGCGAAAGCGACGUUCAACCGC
rnacentral:rRNA from 1 species